rnacentral:rRNA from 1 species
AGUGAACGCUGGCGGUAGGCCUAACACAUGCAAGUCGAACGGCAGCACAGUAAGAGCUUGCUCUUACGGGUGGCGAGUGGCGGACGGGUGAGGAAUACAUCGGAAUCUACUUUUUCGUGGGGGAUAACGUAGGGAAACUUACGCUAAUACCGCAUACGACCUACGGGUGAAAGCAGGGGAUCUUCGGACCUUGCGCGAUUGAAUGAGCCGAUGUCGGAUUAGCUAGUUGGCGGGGUAAAGGCCCACCAAGGCGACGAUCCGUAGCUGGUCUGAGAGGAUGAUCAGCCACACUGGAACUGAGACACGGUCCUGACUCCUACGGGAGGCAGCAGUGGGGAAUAUUGGACAAUGGGCGCAAGCCUGAUCCAGCCAUGCCGCGUGGGUGAAGAAGGCCUUCGGGUUGUAAAGCCCUUUUGUUGGGAAAGAAAAGCAGCAGGUUAAUACCCCGCUGUUCUGACGGUACCCAAAGAAUAAGCACCGGCUAACUUCGUG